UCUAAUUAAGAAUCAAUUAGA
rnacentral:piRNA from 1 species